CCGCUAAUUUGCUAAUAUUUAUUUAAACCCAAACUUCAUUGAUUUAUGAAUUCGAUGUACGAAAUUCUUCUCUGAUGGAAGAUCCAACAGCAAAAACACCCAGUUUUGACUUACCGUGAGGCCUGUGGACCACCUUAAACCGCAUUAGAAUCAAAUAGGGAAAAUGCAUUUACCUAUUAUACAAAUGGGGAAUGGCAGAAUCCCCUUUAUGUGGCUAAGGGCAAG